UCCAGUCUGAGGAAAAAACUUACUGAAGCAUCUCUAAGGGUUUUUGCGAGGGUGGAAUAUGUCUUGAUGCAACCUGAACUGCCACUAAAGAAAAUAAUCCAGCUGGACUAGAAGUCUAGAAACAUUAGACUCCAUAUCUUGUGGUAGUGUUGUGAGGCACAAGGUCAAAGAACAAUUUCCUUCAGCUCUCAAGAACUGAAUGAGGUCAGUUUCAGCCCACACAUAGUAUGCCUUUCGUGAGUUUCCCCACACUCCAGAGAGUAAAGAGGGAUGAAUUCUUUGAACAAGGUAAAAACCAUUAGUGCUCCCUAAACUUCUUCAAUAAGCUUUGGAUCUGGCCCCUUCUUGCUAACUAUCUGAUAGCACUGUUGUGAGGAUUAAUCAGAUAAGGGGGAAUUCACCCCUGUUCAGAGGGCUAGAACAAGGGUUACGUACCACUUAGUUUCUUGUGCCGCAGUAGGAUGAAUAUCACUCUUAGAGCAUGGCUACAUUUGUGAGUUAGAGCACAUUAAAGCAGCCCCGUGCGCUCUAACUCACGACUCGUCCACACUGGCAAGGCACAUAGAGUGCCCAGACUCCGCGGCUAGAGCGAUCCAGGUGC